GAUGAACGCUGGCGGCGUACCUAAUACAUGCGAGUCGAGCGAACAGACGAGGAGCUUGCUCCUCUGACGUUAGCGGCGGACGGGUGAGUAACACGUGGAUAACCUACCUAUAAGACUGGGAUAACUUCGGGAAACCGGAGCUAAUACCGGAUAAUAUAUUGAACCGCAUGGUUCAAUAGUGAAAGACGGUUUUGCUGUCACUUAUAGAUGGAUCCGCGCCGCAUUAGCUAGUUGGUAAGGUAACGGCUUACCAAGGCGACGAUGCGUAGCCGACCUGAGAGGGUGAUCGGCCACACUGGAACUGAGACACGGUCCAGACUCCUACGGGAGGCAGCAGUAGGGAAUCUUCCGCAAUGGGCGAAAGCCUGACGGAGCAACGCCGCGUGAGUGAUGAAGGUCUUCGGAUCGUAAAACUCUGUUAUUAGGGAAGAACAAAUGCGUAAGUAACUAUGCACGUCUUGACGGUACCUAAUCAGAAAGCCACGGCUAACUACGUG
rnacentral:rRNA from 1 species